GACGAACGCUGGCGGCGCGCUUAACACAUGCAAGUCGAACGGAAAGGCCUGCUUUUCCUUGUGGAUUGCGGGUCCUCGAGUGGCGAACGGGUGAGUAACACGUGAGUGAUCUGCCCCCAACUUGGGUAUAAGCCUGGGAUACUGGGUCUAAUUCACGAUAGGACUGCAGGGUGGUGUCUGUGGUGGAAAAUGAUUUUCUAGUGGUUGGGGAUGAGCUCGCGGCCUAUCAGCUUGUUGGUGGGGUAAUGGACUAACAAGGCGGCGACGGGUUGCCGGCCUGAGAGUGUGUACGGCCACAUUGGGACUGAGAUACGGCCCAGACUCCUACGGGAGGCAGCAGGUGGGAAUAUAGCACAAUGAGCAGAAGCCUGAUGCAGCGACGCCGCGUGGGAGAUGACGGCCUGCGGGUUAUAAACUCCUUUCGACCACGAGGAAGCCACCUGGUUAGAAGGGUGUUGACGGUAGUGGUAGAAGAAGCACCGGCUAACUACGUG
rnacentral:rRNA from 1 species